UCCAGCUCCCAUGGCGGCGUCCCCGCCAAAA
rnacentral:sRNA from 1 species